rnacentral:rRNA from 1 species
GGAUGAAGGCCUUCGGGUUGUAAAGCUCUUUCGGCCGGGAAGAUUAUGACGGUACCUGUGGAAGAAGCUGCGGCUAACUACGUGCCAGCAGCCGCGGUAAUACGUAGGGGGCAAGCGUUGUUCGGAAUUACUGGGCGUAAAGGGUGCGUAGGCGGAUUUAUAAGUCUGGUGUGAAAUCUCUGGGCUCAACUCGGGGGGUGCCCCCGAUACUGUCGGUCUUGAGUGUGGGAGAGGAUGGUGGAAUUCCCGGUGUAGCGGUGAAAAUGCGUAUAUAUCAGGAGGAACACCAGUGGUGAAGGCGGCUUUCUGGACCUGUACUGACGCUGAGGCACGAAAGCGUGGGGAGCAAACAGGAUUAAAUACCCUGGUAGUCCACGCCCUAAACGAUGCAUAUUUGGUGUGGGU